UACGUAGGGGGCAAGCGUUAUCCGGAUUUACUGGGUGUAAAGGGAGCGUAGACGGCAUGACAAGUCUGAUGUGAAAACCCGGGGCUCAACUCCGGGAUUGCAUUGGAAACUGUCGCGCUGGAGUACUGGAGGGGCAGGCGGAAUUCCUGGUGUAGCGGUGAAAUGCGUAGAUAUCAGGAGGAACACCGGUGGCGAAGGCGGCCUGCUGGACAGUAACUGACGUUGAGGCUCGAAAGCGUGGGGAG
rnacentral:rRNA from 1 species